rnacentral:rRNA from 2 species
AAAGCCUGAUCCAGCCAUGCCGCGUGUGUGAAGAAGGUCUUCGGAUUGUAAAGCACUUUAAGUUGGGAGGAAGGGUUUCUGGCUAAUAUCCAGGAAUUUUGACGUUACCGACAGAAUAAGCACCGGCUAACUACGUGCCAGCAGCCGCGGUAAUACGUAGGUGGCAAGCGUUGUCCGGAUUUACUGGGCGUAAAGGGAGCGUAGGCGGAUACUUAAGUGGGAUGUGAAAUACCUGGGCUUAACUUGGGUGCUGCAUUCCAAACUGGGUGUCUAGAGUGUUGGAGAGGAAAGUGGAAUUCCUAGUGUAGCGGUGAAAUGCGUAGAGAUUAGGAAGAACACCAGUGGCGAAGGCGACUUUCUGGACAAUAACUGACGCUGAGGCUCGAAAGCGUGGGGAGCAAACA